UAUCACAGGAAUCACAUCAGCUAUUACACUUUUACUUUUCACCAUUACAAAAAAAUUUUCACAGCAACAAAUCACAGAAAUCUCCUUUCCUAAACCAAUAAACACAGAGCAAACACACCUCAAGACACAAUUUUAAAGCAGUUCAGUGUAACAAAAGCCAGAAACAUACCUAACAAUAGGUGAACCAAGACAAAUCACCUCCACAAAGACACCCUAUGGCAAAACAACUAACAGGGAUGCAGUAUACACCC
rnacentral:misc_RNA from 1 species